CGUAGGUGGCAAGGCGUUGUCCGGAUUUAUUGGGUUUAAAGGGUGCGUAGGCGGUCCUAUAAGUCAGUGGUGAAAUACGGCAGCUCAACUGUCGAGGUGCCAUUGAUACUGCGGAACUUGAGUACUGAUGAGGUAGGCGGAAUUGACGGUGUAGCGGUGAAAUGCUUAGAUAUCGUCAAGAACACCGAUAGCGAAGGCAGCUUACCAAGCAGUAACUGACGCUGAGGCACGAAAGUGCGGGGAUCAAACAGGAUUAGAUACCCUGGUAGUCCGCACAGUAAACGAUGAUUACUCGAUGUUGGCGAUACACAGCCAGCGUCUUAGCGAAAGCGAUAAGUAAUCCACCUGGGGAGUACGCCCGCAAGGGUG
rnacentral:rRNA from 1 species